AAUGAUAUUUUCAGUAAUUACCGGUAUCCAGGAGUAUUUGCCCGGUAGGGAAAGCCGAUGUUGAAUGGGCAACAAAUCGGGGCGCUGACGUGUGUCACGGAAUAAUAAUCCUUUCUGUAUGUCAGGUCGAGCCAUGGUUGACAAUCGAACGAGAGACACUCCGAUAACGGGGAAUGACGGAUAAUUUCAACUCAAACUCAAGAAUAGCCGAUCAACAACACACGUGGGUUCCGGAAACCGAAACUUUUAAACGCGCAUUUCCGACACGCAAAGGGGGAUGUUGUACAAGAAAGAGAGAGAGCUAGGCACGAUGUGACGUCGUUGCAGCUGGACGAGCGACUGGCCAGUGGUAGACUAUCGACGCUUGGUCACAUGGGCGCCGCCAGCGAUCGGUAUGGAACCCAGCAUUGGAGGGGUGGAUGGAGACUAUAUACGAGGUACAACCGUGAGACCUACUGAACGACUCGCCCACCGCCGACCCCACAACUCAUUCACAAGGUGGCCGACGUCAAGAAUUAAAUAUUGCGAUGGAGUAUCGCACUUGGCCCUGAUAUUCCCAACAUAAAAUAUGCCGAGUUGAUGACAACGCAGACAACGGCCUGUUUAACCGACUUCUCAUUUUCAAUCGCGAUAAUAAACCUGGAAUAUGUUUGCAGACUAACAAUCAAUCAGCUCAGUGUUGGACUCCUUUUUUUUUACUGCUGGAAUUUAUCCGGAAUAAUUUCCAAUUUCCUUGUCAUUUCCUUACUGUACCUGGGUACACGGUGAACUUUUAUCCUAUUGUUCCGCUCCCCCCGCAACCCCUCACUUUUCUUUCAUAAUAGACCACGACAUCCUCUCAUAUAUAAAUAUUUGAAUACAAUACUAAAUAGCACUCUA